ACGAACGCUGGCGGCGUGCCUAACGCAUGCAAGUCGAGCGGGGAUGGUAGCUGAAGGUGAUGAGCUGGAAGCUGCCAUCUUAGCGGCGGACGGGUGAGUAACACGUGAGCAACCUACCCCUCAGCACGGGGAUAACAGCUCGAAAGGGCUGCUAAUACCCGAUGGGACCACGUCAUUGCAUGGUGAUGUGGUGAAAGGGUGGACGUAAGGUCCAUACCGGCUGGGGAUGGGCUCGCGGCCCAUCAGCUAGUUGGUGGGGUAACGGCCUACCAAGGCGACGACGGGUAGCCGGCCUGAGAGGGUGUCCGGCCACAGUGGGACUGAGACACGGCCCACACUCCUACGGGAGGCAGCAGCGGGGAAUCUUGCGCAAUGGGCGAAAGCCUGACGCAGCGACGCCGCGUGAGGGAAGGAGCCCUUCGGGGUGUAAACCUCUUUGGACGGGGAGAAGUAGGAGAUAGUACCCGUUUAAAAAAGCCCACGGCUAACUACGUGCCAGCAGCCGCGGUAAUACGUAGGUGGCGAGCGUUGUCCGGAAUUACUGGGCGUAAAGGGUGCGUAGGCGGCCUGGUAAAGUUGAGCGUGAAAUUUUU
rnacentral:rRNA from 1 species